rnacentral:rRNA from 1 species
UACGUAGGGUGCGAGCGUUGUCCGGAAUUAUUGGGCGUAAAGAGCUCGUAGGCGGUGUGUCACGUCGGCCGUGAAAACCUGCAGCUUAACUGUGGGCGUGCGGUCGAUACGGGCAUCACUGGAGUUCGGCAGGGGAGACUGGAAUUCCUGGUGUAGCGGUGAAAUGCGUAGAGAUCAGGAGGAACACCGGUGGCGAAGGCGGCCCUCUGGGUCGACCCUGACGCUGAGGCGCGAAAGCGUGGGGAGCGAACGGG